GCCAGCAGCUACAUCGCCCUGCAGUUCACACCUGGCAACCCAUCUGGAGCUCAGCAGGUGUGGGCCUGGCCAGUACCUGGAUGGGAGACCUCCUGGGGAAAACAAAGGCUGCUGCUGGAA
rnacentral:rRNA from 1 species